rnacentral:rRNA from 1 species
GGCGACUGAUAGGCGCCGGCGCACCGGCUGAAAAUUUCGGCCGGUCCCGCGUGGGCCGCACGAUCUAGCUUUUGUAGACCGUAUGAUUUCAUCGUCAACCUUAUAGAAAACGCUGCAGCAAAAAAGCAACGGGAAAAUGAAAAGGGGAAAGAGACCAGCGCCCGCUCGUCCUCGGCCGCCGCCGACUCACGCUCGCCGACCUCGCCCGUUUGCCUCGCCGCAGAUGCUCACCGCUGAUGCUUGCCGCCGUCGCUCGCUCGCAACAAAUAAGCCGUUGACCAAAGCAGCCUUUUCUCUUGCCUCCGUGUUGCAUCCAUGGUAGCUCCGCGGCGCCGACCGCAACACCGUCCCUCGCCGGUGUUGCCCACCGCACGUUGCAGCAUCAAUGGUGACGGCGGCAUCGCUUGCAUACAAAGCCGAUGGUAGAAAAAACAAAGGAUUGCUGGUUCCAGCAAAAAUCGAAGGCGGUGGAAGCAAAAUUGGGGCUGGUUCCAGCAAAAAUCGAAGGCGGUGGAAGCAAAAUUGGGGCUGGUUCCAGCAAAAAUCGAAGCCGGUGGAAGCAAAAUUGGGGUUGGUUCCAGCAAAAAUCGAAGCUGCUGAAAGCAAAAUUGGGACUGGUUCCAGCAAAAAUCGAAGCCGGUGGAAGCAAAAUUGAGGCUGGUUCCAGCAAAACUCGAAGCCGAUGGAAGCAAAAUUGGGGCUGGUUCCAGCAAAAACAAAAAACAGUGGUAGCAAAAAAAUGCUAGUUCUAUCAAAAAUUGAAAGCGGUGGUAGCAAAAAUUGGGCUGGUCAACAAAAUCAAGAUAGUAGAGUUGCAUCCCUUUUGGGUCAGAGCUGGAACCGGUAAGUGGCAGAGCUACAACCGGCUAUAGGAGAGUUGCAAUCGGCGAGCGGCGGAGCUGGAACGGGCUAGGUGUUCUCCUCCGCAGAUGCGCGUCUUUCCGCUCCGCUACACGGCCGCCUGCUUGUUUGAAGCAUUGUGGCAUCGCCGUUGUAACUCCGCGGCCUGUUGGUUGCAGCACACCGCGCACCGGCCGGUGAUGGCCGGCUAGCAGCAGGGCGGCUCAUCGGGGCUUCAAGCGGCGCGCGGCGGCUCAGAAGAGAGAGAUUGGGAAAGCAGAGAUUAGUAUCUGUGUGAGAGACGUGGGGACUAGGGAGAUAAGGAAACAUGUGGCUGAGAG